CCAAAGGCAGGUUUUGUUCUGUUUUGCUUUCUGUGGCUCCCUGGUCAGGGUCAGGCUGACAUGGAUACAGGGGUAUGUGGGUAAAUUCACUUUCUGAAGGAAAAAAAAAAAGCCCUGAUUUGUAGGGUGUGCCACUCUCUGUGGUAUAAACAGCUAGAUUGAAGUGUGAUGUCAUCGAGUGUGGACUGCGUGCAUAGCCAGCUCUCCUAAGCCAGGGCCAUCUGACUAGCACACACUAUGUCUCACGGAUACCCACCCCCUCCUUACAGUGGCAUUCUGAGAUUAAAUUCUAUUAUAUGACUGUAAAGGAUUCAAAUUCUAGGUGUCUUCCCAAACUGGAUGCAACACUUUUCCCAUUUCUUCAUCCCUAGCCAUUUUUCAUGGGAUGAGCAGGGAUAGAAAUGAAAGGAGAGGUUAACCAUAAAAAAGGAAGUAACGGGGAUUUUAAAUAACUUUAGUUUGCCUUUUUUUUCUGUUAGAAACACACUCUUUUGGUGGUAGAGCUGAAUCUUUAAAGUGAUGGAGCAGCCUUCCUUCAACAACCCCCACCUCCCACCCUCUCCACUUCAAGUUCCUAUUUUAAGCUCCAGUCAGGAUAUUAAAGAGAGCCAUCAUGCUGUCUACCUUCUUCCUGCUGAGACGUGGGAUCUAUGACUCCUCUCUUCUAUAACUGCCUAACCAUAGAAAAUGAUCAAAGUGAGGCUGUGCCUGUUUCUGAGCCUGAGCCUGAGCCUGAAGAAAAUAACAGCCUCUGUUUCCCGUCUCUUGUGGAUACUUGCUCUUAAAUCCACCUGCCAUGUUAAUGAAGAACUGCCUAUGCACCCACGUGCAGCCACUUACCAGCAACGCUCACUGUUCUUCAUCUCCCAGUCCCCAAACCCAACCUGACUUGCCACAAGAGUAAAGCACAGCUCCUUGAUAAGGCCUGGAGCCCUACUCUUCCCUGGGACACCCUUCCUUUGUGGAUAUGCUUCUCAUGUUCUCGGUCUGACUUAGCCUGCAAAUGUCACCAGCCACCCCUGCCAGCAGCCCAACACCUAUCACUCAGGAAAGAAGGCUAAGGACCUGGACCUGGUCUCUCCCAGCCUAUGUAGCUUCUCUGGAGCAAGCCAGAAGCCAUUAAGUUUUGUUCUUAAUGGUCUAGUCAAAAGGAAACUACAUGUGUAAGCUAUCUUUUUAUUUAUGAGUAAAUACAGGAUCGACAUGAUUCAGGUGAACAAACAUCAAGUACAGUAAGCUUCAUUUUGUUCAGAGAGCUUGAAGAAUGGGACACUCAGGGACAUUCUUUUUUAGAGAGAUUCCAGGCAAGCGAACUAUAGAUUCCUAUCUUUCUAAGAAUUACAGUGCAUGAAAGAUAUUAAAUCUAAAAUUGUAUUAAAUACAACUGUAUCAAUUGUUAAUGAUUUAAGAGAUAAUUUGUGACAUUAAAGUGACUGUUGCUCAUCAUCAUUAACUUAUAACGGAAAUAUUUAGCUCACUUGGACCUAAGCUGUACAAAAGAUAUUUGGUAUUUCUCUGUGCAGUUUUUAGGAUAUUUACCUUAUAAUCAGGCAGACCUCCCUUCAGGUUCAUUCAGUCUGGGCCUACUGCUUAUGUAAAGUAUUAAGAGAGCAGUCAGUCUAGUGACUGUUUUAA